CAGUGCAAAAAUUUUCAGAUUUGUGAUAAUUGUUACGAGGCUGAACAGAAACGUGAAGAAAGGGAACGACAUCCUGUCAAUCAAAGGGAGAAACAUGUACUCUAUCCAGUUGAAAUCACUGAUGUACCUGUUGAUACAAAGGAUAAAGAUGAAAUUCUUGAGAGUGAAUUCUUUGACACAAGGCAAGCAUUCUUGAAUCUUUGUCAGGGAAAUCAUUAUCAGUAUGAUACUCUACGCCGGGCUAAGCACUCCUCAAUGAUGGUCCUGUACCAUCUCCAUAAUCCAACUGCUCCUGCUUUUGUUACGACAUGCAGUAUAUGCCAUCUUGACAUUGAAACAGGUCAAGGUUGGCGCUGUGAAGUUUGCCCUGAUUAUGAUGUAUGCAAUGCUUGUUACCAAAAGGAUGGGGGUAUUGAUCAUCCUCAUAAGUUGACAAAUCAUCCAUCAAUGGCUGAUCGUGAUGCCCAGAACAAAGAAGCUAGGCAACUAAGGGUUUUACAGCUUAGGAAAAUGCUUGAUCUUCUGGUGCAUGCAUCACAAUGCCGUUCCCCGCAGUGCCAAUAUCCAAAUUGUCGUAAGGUGAA
rnacentral:misc_RNA from 1 species